rnacentral:lncRNA from 1 species
GUUCUGUGGGAAUUAGAGGUAAACACCUCCCUUGAACGUGAGUUCUCAUAGUAUAAGCGAUGUCCGUUGGAGAGCCUGAUGAUGUCCCACCACGAUGCAACGGCUCUCCUGGCUGGGGCUAGUGGAAGCAGUUUUGAUGGAAGUUAAGGAUUUGCAACUUAGAGGAUUUCUGGGAUAAUUCUCUUAAAGUAGUGACUUCACCAACAGGAAUUCCAGGCCCCCUGGUGUGCCAGCUCAAGGGAUAAGCAGAGUAUGUCGGGUUCCCAGGUGCCAAUGAACAGAGAAAUAGCCAAAGGGCUCGCUGAGUGGGAGCAGAGGUAAAUGGGCCUGGAUAAUUGGAAAACUGGAUAGUCACGAGGUUAACUAUGCCACAGGCAAGAAUCCAGAUGGUUCCAACCUACCUCAGCCAGUAUGACGUGAAACAAGGUCCCAGCUUGAACACUCUGAGUUUUGAACAGAUAUGUCUGAGAGGACAUCUGCCAGAAGCCUAUUUGCAUGAGGAACUUAGAAACCUCCAGGAGAAAGCUCAGACUGAAGGAAAGAGGAGUCGGCUUGCCAACUGCAAGGCACCAGACAAUAAAUAAUGCCUUAGUGGUCAAUGGAAAGGUUGGGAUUUUUAGAACCUAUGGUUCCCAGUGCUUAGCUUUGUCUCCAUGUCCAACACCCCCAUGUGAAUCCUACAGAAAGUUGUGGGGCAGAGGGGCAAAAAAAAUAAAGCUAUGUUUCCCUAAAAAAUCUCUAGUAUUUAGGGAUAUCAAGGCACACUGUCUUGGUCCAUUCAGGCUGCUGUAAAAAAUACUUUAGACCAAGUGAUAUGCAAACAGCUGAAAUUUAUUGCUCACAGUUGUGGGGCUGGGAAGUCCAAGAUUAAAGUGCCUGUAGAUUCUGUGUCUGGUGAGGGCCUGUUCCUCACAGUGGCUCCGUCUCCUGUGUUCUCCCACGGUGGAAAGGGCAAAUGAG